CGGCGGACGGGUGAGUAACGCGUAGGUAACCUGCCUCAUACAGGGGGAUAACAGUUGGAAACGGCUGCUAAUACCGCAUAAGCGCACAGUACCGCAUGGUACGGUGUGAAAAACUCCGGUGGUAUGAGAUGGACCCGCGUCUGAUUAGGUAGUUGGUGGGGUAACGGCCUACCAAGCCGACGAUCAGUAGCCGACCUGAGAGGGUGACCGGCCACAUUGGGACUGAGACACGGCCCAG
rnacentral:rRNA from 1 species